rnacentral:rRNA from 1 species
AACGAACGCUGGCGGCGUGCUUAACACAUGCAAGUCGAACGCGAAAGGGACUUCGGUCCUGAGUAAAGUAGCGCACGGGUGAGUAACGCGUAGAUAACCUGUCUUCAUGUCUGGAAUAAUACGCCGAAAGGGGUACUAAUACCGGAUAUUCUUGCUUUUCAUAAGUUAUGCAAGCAAAGGUGGCCUCUGCAUAUGCUACUGCAUGAAGAGGGGUCUGCGUACCAUUAGCUAGUAGGUGGGGUAAUGGCCUACCUAGGCGACGAUGGUUAGCGGGUCUGAGAGGAUGAUCCGCCACACUGGCACUGGAACACGGGCCAGACUCCUACGGGAGGCAGCAGUGAGGAAUAUUGCGCAAUGGGGGAAACCCUGACGCAGCGACGCCGCGUGAGUGAAGGAAGGCCUUCGGGUCGUAAAGCUCUGUCAAGAGGAAAGAAGUGUACAAUGGCUAAUACCUGUUGUAUUUGACGGUACCUCUAAAGGAAGCACCGGCUAACUCCGUGCCAGCAGCCGC